GACAGUGUUGUAGAAAUACGGUUAUGAGUCCGACGCCUCUCGAAGGAUGCACAGGUUCUCCGUACUCUACUCUUACUUAAAUCGUCCCCAACGUUCAGAUGUCUCCGCAUAUCUGAGCUUGGGUAUACGGCGAAACCCAACCCCUUGGGAGGAUGGAAGACAUGGCUAAUUUGAGAGGA
rnacentral:ribozyme from 1 species